rnacentral:rRNA from 1 species
UACGUAGGGGGCAAGCGUUGUCCGGAUUUAUUGGGCGUAAAGAGCGUGUAGGCGGCCAGGUAGGUCUGCUGUGAAAACUCGAGGCUUAACCUCGAGAUGUCGGCGGAAACCAUCUGGCUAGAGUCCGGAAGAGGAGAGUGGAAUUCCUGGUGUAGCGGCGAAAUGCGCAGAUAUCAGGAAGAACACCCGUGGCGAAGGCGGCUCUCUGGGACGGUACUGACGCUGAGACGCGAAAGCGUGGGGAGCGAACAGG